UACAGAGGGGGCGAGCGUUGUUCGGAAUUACUGGGCGUAAAGGGCGCGUAGGCGGCACUGUUAGUCAGGCGUGAAAGUCCUGGGCUUAACCUGGGAACUGCGCUUGAUACUGCAGAGCUAGAGGAUGGAAGAGGGUCGCGGAAUUCCCAGUGUAGAGGUGAAAUUCGUAGAUAUUGGGAAGAACACCGGUGGCGAAGGCGGCGACCUGGUCCAUUACUGACGCUGAGGCGCGACAGCGUGGGGAGCAAACAGG
rnacentral:rRNA from 1 species